rnacentral:tRNA from 1 species
AGAGAUGUGACUUAGUGGUCAAGUGCUUGCCUAUCAUGCAUAAGGCCCUGGGUUCAAUCCCCAGCACCACAA